rnacentral:lncRNA from 1 species
UCUGAUCUUAGAGUAAGAUUGAAAUUGCAUUGGGUAGGGAUUAAGUGACAAGUUGUAAACGGGUGAGUUUAGCUUUGAAUUAAUACUACUGAUAGUGGAUUUCCUCCCUGGCUUGGUAGCCCCCAGAUGUAGGUCAUGUUGGACUGAACUGGGUAAACAAUUACUUGUGUUAUUUACUGCACUUAUGUUUAAGUUCUGC